rnacentral:rRNA from 1 species
GACGAACGCUGGCGGCGUGCCUAAUACAUGCAAGUAGAACGCUGAAGGAGGAGCUUGCUCUUCUGGAUGAGUUGCGAACGGGUGAGUAACGCGUAGGUAACCUGCCUGGUAGCGGGGGAUAACUAUUGGAAACGAUAGCUAAUACCGCAUAACAGUAGAUGUUGCAUGACAUUUACUUAAAAGGUGCAAUUGCAUCACUACCAGAUGGACCUGCGUUGUAUUAGCUAGUUGGUGGGGUAACGGCUCACCAAGGCGACGAUACAUAGCCGACCUGAGAGGGUGGUCGGCCACACUGGGACUGAGACACGGCCCAGAGUCCUACGGGAGGCAGCAGUAGGGAAUCUUCGGCAAUGGACGGAAGUCUGACCGAGCAACGCCGCGUGAGUGAAGAAGGUUUUCGGGUCGGAAAGCUCUGUUGUAAGAGAAGAACGAGUGUGAGAGUGGAAAGUUCACACUGUGACGGUAUCUUACCAGAAAGGGACGGCUAACUACGUG